rnacentral:rRNA from 1 species
GAUGAACGCUGGCGGCGUGCCUAAUACAUGCAAGUCGAGCGAACAGACGAGGAGCUUGCUCCUCUGACGUUAGCGGCGGACGGGUGAGUAACACGUGGAUAACCUACCUAUAAGACUGGGAUAACUUCGGGAAACCGGAGCUAAUACCGGAUAAUAUAUUGAACCGCAUGGUUCAAUAGUGAAAGACGGUUUUGCUGUCACUUAUAGAUGGAUCCGCGCCGCAUUAGCUAGUUGGUAAGGUAACGGCUUACCAAGGCGACGAGGCGUAGCCGACCUGAGAGGGUGAUCGGCCACACGGGAACUGAGACACGGUCCAGACUCCUACGGGAGGCAGCAGUAGGGAAUCUUCCGCAAUGGGCGAAAGCCUGACGGAGCAACGCCGCGUGAGUGAUGAAGGUCUUCGGAUCGUAAAACUCGGUUAUUAGGGAAGAACAAAUGUGUAAGUAACUAUGCACGUCUUGACGGUACCUAAUCAGAAAGCCACGGCUAACUACGUG